GGGUAGGCGGCGAAGUUGGAGAGUCGUACCUGACUGUAAAUCAGGCCUCAGAGAGUGAGUGGGUUCGAAUCCCACCCUGCCCA
rnacentral:tRNA from 1 species